UACUAAUACACAUAACAAUGACUGAGUGACAAAAACAUUGUGCUGAGUGAAAGAAGUCUGACAUGAAAGAUUACAAACUAUAUGAUCCAAUUUAUAUAAAGUGCUAGAAGACAGCAAGCUAAUCUUACCUUGUUAAUCUCUCAAAAUGAUUAGUUUCAAGAGGAACAGAGAUUGGAAUUAAAAUCAUCUCAAACACUGGUGGAUCUGGUUCUACAGAUUAUGUGUUAAAUUUUCCAAUAAUAUGGGACAACUAAUAUCUCUCUUGUUGAGGGAAGGAACAGUCUAAGACAUUAAGCUUCAGAAUGAGAGUCAACAGAGUCAACAGACACGAUAGGAUUAGAAGUCCACAAACAGUGCCAGAUAACCAAAGCAAAUCACUCUGUCACAUCUGAUUGCAAAUAUACUAAGAUCAAUGAGCAUAAGGAAGGCUUAAUGGCAGUUGAAACACUAGAAAAGGACACGAAUCACUGGGAAUAAGAUCUUUUUGAGGGUCUCCUGCCUCACUGAGAAAUGUGACUAUGACAGUGAUAAAGGCAAUAGAAAGGGAGGUUUCUAGGAAUAAAAAGUAAAGCUGGUUCUGCCUGAAAUGUUCCUGCUUUGAAGCUUCCAAUACAACGAACAUCUUUGAUUCCCUACCAGUAACUCUGGGAAAGUGGUCGAGCCCCACAUUCUAAAGAACUCAAUGUUCCCAGUUUCUCCAGAUGUUCUCGAAACUUCCACUGCUUUGCAAAAUAAGCCUCUAGAAUUCUAAAUUAUCCUUUGUUAUCUCAUCAAAAAGAGCAAGUUGUAAAGGAGCCAGGAUUGUCCUGGAAUUCUAUUUCUAGUGGAUCCAGUCUGUUAAAUCCUUGACCAAAAAUUCCUGGCUAGUGGCCACAUUAGGAUUCAACAAGUGAAGAAAAGUAGCCUGUGCUGCUUCUCAGCGGAAUACAAAGGAGGCUGUAUGAUGCAACCAGAUUAUAACUUGCCCUUCAUCCUGAGAAACAUCCUGAGUUGGAUGAUAAAUUACAUGGCCACUCAAUCAGUGAGCGAAUGCUGUCUCUAGAGAGCCCAGUUCCCAUGCAAGAGGCUGCAUCAACAGCAUUUUGAAACAGCAACUGCAGCUGCAUUUUCUUAGAUAAUGAAGGAUGGGGAAGAAAAGGAAUGCCAGAAGUCAGUCCAGUUUGGCUUCAGGUUCUAUUCUUCAAUACGUCCACUUAAUUCUGGACUCAACUUUCUCACUCUGACAAUUUCAGCCAACAAAUUCCUAGAAUAUGUUAUCUUGCAAAAGAAAGUGACAACUAUGACAUCUCAGUCCUUGAAGAGACCUGGUUAUCUUGCAACUGGACAAGGUUGGAUGCUGAAAACAGAAAGUUGUUUGAAAAUCUUUAGACCACCAGAAGGCCAGCUCCAACUCACCCUGACUACUGCUCUCAUCCUCUACUUAAGCUCAUUUGCUUCAAUCACCUGGCUUAUAUGGAGAAGGACACAAAACAACAUUUGGCGUCACUCAACUCCAGUGAUAAAAGUUAUUCCCCAAACCCCAGCUGAAUGGAUUCUAUUGGUCUGAAGGAUGGACAGAUGAGACUCUAUAUAAUGCACAGGAAGACAUGAAUACAUGGAACUACUAAUUCAGCAUUACUUUCAGAAAUGAUAGAAGCAUGUAACAGGGCAAAAAAAUGUGAAGAAAGUGUUUAUGCUGCCAGUAUUGUAAUCACAGUGUAUUCAAGGAACUCCACUGAUGUUUUAUAGAAUCCAGAUUUAUGAAGCCUGGAGAUUCACCAUAAACCUUAGCAUCAACUUGCUGAAGUGAAUAGAAAUGACAACA
rnacentral:lncRNA from 1 species